rnacentral:rRNA from 1 species
AUGCCGUCCCGGUCCGCAAUAAACAGAGCCAAGGCUGGAGAGCCUGGAAGGAUGCUAGUGAGAGGGUGCACUGCACACAAAAUGGAGAUGGAUGGAGGUAGUAAGUACAGAUCAAGAGGCCACACAAUGGGCAGCAACAACUACAAAAGGCUCCCCUACCUGCUGCUCCUGCUGCUGGCUGUCGGUGCCGCCACGCUGAGCGUCAGCGUGCUGCACAAGAUGAGGGAACGGCGCCUUCUCUCCGUCCUCCUCCAGGAACGCGAGCAGCAGCUCAUGUCCCUCCAGGUCCGCCUCGAGAAUGAGAAGGAAAUUAGUAAAGAGAUGAGGAGAAAAGUGGAUGAACUGGAAGCUAAAACGUCUAUCCUGAGUAUUGAGAGGACAGAACUGAAGAACAAGGUCAUGAAUUCAGAAACAACCACCACCUAUCUUACCAACACCCAGAAAGAACUGGAGGCAGCUCUUGUGGAGAAAGAGAGCCAUAUCAACCAAAUGAAAGAGAUUGUAGCUGCUUCAGGGCCUGACCAGAUGUCUGCUAUAAAAGAACUCCUGCAACAAAAGGAAGCUGAGCUUGAAGAGAUCAAGACCAAGUUCAGCGGCAAUGCUGUGUUAGCCACAAACAAUGAAAAUGCAACUUCUGACACUGUGGCACCUGAGAAUUCUGCAAGCUCUGAUGAUACCAUACCUGCUCCAACAACCAUACCUGCUCCAACAGAAGAUCAUUCCUAUAACAGCACUGCAUCAGAGAGCAACCACCAAGACGAGAGAAUUUUAGAGAGCACAAACAACAAAGAUGUAAAUCCUGAUGCUGUGAUACCUGAGGAAAAAAUAAAUUCCAGUGAUUCCAUGCCUGCUACAGGAGAAGAACUGCAUUCCGACGACACCACUGCAUCAGAGAGCAACCACCCAGAUGAGAGAACUGUAGUGGGCACAAACAACGAAGAUGCUGUAACUCCUGACACUGUCAUAGCUGAGGAAAAAGCAAACUCCAGUGGUUCCGCACCUGAUCAAGCAGAAGAACUGCAAUCCUACAACACCACCGCAUCCGAGAGCAACCACCAAGAAGAUGGUUCAUCAGAAGGUCAGUUUGUAAAGUUCACAACUAACUUCGAAGAUGAUGCCUUACAAGAGAAAACAGACGAUGCCAAUCAAAGUUCUGACGACCCCCCUCUAAAGGGAACGCAUUCAGAGGAAUCUGAACUUCGUCAAUCGGCAGACAGUCAAGAAAUCAGCAAAGAAGAAGUAGAUGGGAGAAAACAAUUGGAGGACACCCAAGGCGAGGUCAGCUACCACAGCAGAGAGAGUAAGCUGCUUGAGAAGGAAGACGGCAAAGAAGUUGCUAGAGAACCAGAGAAGGAAAUCAACCCUGAUGGUGAGAUGAAGAUCUCAAAAGACAGUCAAGAAAUCAGCAAAGAAGAACUCGAUGGGAAAAAGCAAUUGGAGGACCCCCAAGGCGAGGUCAGCUACCACAGCAAAGAGAGUAAGCUGCUUGAGAAGGAAGAUGGCAAUGAAGUUGCUAGAGAAGCAGAGAAGGAAAUCAGCCCUGAUGGUGAGAUGAAGAUCUCAAAAGACAGUCAAGAAAUCAGCAAAGAAGAACUAGAUGGGAAAAAACAAUUGGAGGACCACCAAGGCGACCACAGCACAGAGAGUAAGCUGCUUGAGCAGGAAGAUGGAAAAGAAGUUGCUAGCGAACCAGAGAAGAAAAUCAACCCUGAUGGCGAGAUGAAGAUCUCAAAAGACAGCUUGACUGAAGCCAACCAAGAGAUAAUCCAAGUCGUGGAACCUGUUGCCAGCCCUGCAGAUGCAAACCUCAGCUUGUCCACAAAUAACAGGGAAUCAAAAGAGACAAGCAAGAGGCGUAGGAAGAGGAAGUCCAGAUCUAAAAGGAGGAAGAGGACCGAUGUUGCUGCCAGCAAUGUUGAUGGAGAAGUCAUCAAAGGGAGGUAG